rnacentral:lncRNA from 1 species
AUAAAAGCCAGGAUGUCACCCCAAAAGAGGAGAGCUCAAUAUGGCCAAAAGGGAGGUUGCCCAAAUUAGUCACUAGACACCCUGCUGGAACAGAAGAGACAAAAUUGUAGCAGAGAGAAAACAACACCUGCAUUGAAUCCAAGACACAAGGAUAGGAUGUGACUGAGUAAGACGUGGCUCACCUGAGAGACUGAGAGAACGCGGGACAGCAGGCGAAGGGGAAAAGUCGGGAUUGACUUGGAUUGUUAAGGAGUUGGCUCCUAGUGAACGCAGACAUCAUGUAUGAGUGCCUAGAAGCAAAUCCUGCUUCCAGACCAAGUGACUGACAGCUGCAUUCGCUCUUUUGGAUUCUAAAAAGAUGUCCUUGUAUACUUAUCAUAAGUUAGACAUUUUACUUAUGCUAACUUAAGUGGUAUCUAAAAGCAAUCAUCUUUCAAUAUAGAACAAAUAGAUUUUGCCAUCUCUAAUUCUGUAAUUUUAUGAUGACAUUUCAUAUACAACCCAUACACAGAAAUGUAGUUAUAUCAAACUUUUACCCUCAUAAGGAUCCUAUGAUGUAGGUAUUAUUAUAAUCACCACUUUCCAAAUAAGAAAAUUGAAGCACAGAAAAGUUAAAUAACUUGUCCAAUGUCAUCCAAUGAGUAUUUAAGGUCAUUCACACAGACUGUGUGGCUGCAGGAUCCACACUCUUAAGAACUAUAAAAUUUACAGCAUAUCAAUCACUUUUCCAUGAUUCAAAUAAUCAUAUUUUAGAGAAGCCUUAUGGUAACUCAUAAUUUAUUUAGAAAUUACUUUAAGCAGAGUAAACAAAACAAUACAGCCAUUAGAAGGAGCACGAGAAAACUAUAAGCAUCUGGAAUUAUGAGUUUGAUGUGCAGAUUAAAGUCAUAAAACCUUUAACCUUCCUUUAUAGAAUGCCUCAUUGACCACACUUUCUCAAAGGAGUUACAAAGAAGAUUGAUAUAUGAUAAAAUCAUUAGGAAAAUUAGGGGAUUUAUUUUAAUUUUCCAAUGAAUAAGCAAACAUGAAGCAGAGAGUAAUAAGACCAAAUAUUUAUUAAGCAUUCAAGAGAGCUCGAGCAACAGUUCUUGAGUGGCUGAGAAUCACUUUCCGGAUUAAGAUAAUCUUUGUAUCUAGCCUUCCUUCCUCUGUAACAUGUAUUUAUUUAACAUGAGACAUAAGAAUCUAAGACUAGUGUAUUGUGUGAUUAAGUUGACAUUUUUAAGUUUCUGUUGGAUUUAUUUUUUGCUAAAAUCGAUAUCAUUUUAAGAUAAAGCCAAAUGUAAUCUCUAAAAGUAAGUUUUAAAAAGUUAAUGACCAAGAAUGUAACAAUAAUAAGCAAUGAUGUUUUGGAUCAUAAAGAAUUAGACGAUAAGAAUCUACUGUUUAUACACUGAGCCCAACUCUGUGAGGCAAGAGAGAAAUAAAGGGCAAAAACCUCUGCCACAAAGAGGACAAUCUGGCUUGGAAGACAAAAGGGACCUGCAUGAAACAAACACAUACAGUUAAUGAAGGUACGUAAGUCCUUACCUUAGCCUUACAAGUUGAGAAGUAUUUCAAUAAGCCAAAAGAAGAGAGGAGGCCAAGUUUAAUUCCAGAGAAGCAGCAUUAACAUAAGCUUGGAAACAGGCAGUAUUAUAUUGUGAUUAUCCUUCCAACAACCAUUCCUACCACCAUGCUGUUUAGAAGAUAGUGGCACCAGUUCCAGUAAUGCACUGGGCCCCAGGAUAUCCUGGGUAAUUCCAUUCUUCUUUCCACAGUCACUGGUCCAGGCCAUUCAGGCCUAAGCCAAUCAAUAACUAGUAUCCACUGGUGACAGUGAUUCAAGGGAGGACUCUUGAUUUUGACAUGGGAUGCUUUCUCUCACAUUGGCCAUAGGGAAGCUUGGGUCUCUGGUUAUCAAGAGUGUGGAUCCUGCAGCCACACAGUCUGUGAAAUGACCUUAGGUAUGAAACAUGAAAUAUAUUAUUUUUCAUAAUCAUGGGAAAUAGAGAUGCUUUCUACUGAGGAAGUUUUGUCAGCAUAGAAUAAAUACUAAUAUGUGAUUCUUUUCACAGUCCUUAAAAUGUGACAUCUGUAAAGAGAAGUUUGUUUUUUGGUUGUAUAAUACUCUCAUUGAUAACAUAUCAACAAUGAAGAAAAUACACAGAGAGAUUUCCAAAACAUUUCUACUGCGUAUAACACUGUCCAAUCUAUUUGACUUCAUUAAAAGGAAAACAUAAUUUUUUAUCCCCCUAUCUCACAGCGAUAUUUUUAAAGUUAGGGCUUAUGAAAGGAGUAUGUUGUGAUGGUGCACAAUAAGCUUUUAGGAAGACUAUAAGCAGAAUUGCACUAAAAUGAAAAUCACUGCUAAGACAUUUAAUGGUCAAAUUUAUAUUUCUUUUCAAUAACUGUUUUAUUAUUUAUGUGUUCUAGUUUCUAAAACACUCAGAAUACUAGUCAUAAAGCUUCUUUAAUCAUUCAGAGUCCCUCUGAAUCAUUUUCUUUCCCAACACAGUUGAAACAUUUGUAAUGGCACAACAUAGACAAAGUAAGAAUAAAAGAACUUUACAGCACUCCCAUUUCAAACAAGGAAAAGUACGAUGCAACUAAUCCAUAUUCCUUUGAAUUAAAGUUGGUUACGAUAUUAUUUCAAAUAGCUAAAUUUCUUAUUUUUCCUCUUGAAAUCUAAACAGUCCUUUCACUAUUUGCAGUCAGUGAUUUUUAACUGAUAUUUAGGUCACCCAACUGUUCUCUUUUUUCUCUUAUCCUAGUUUCCAAAUCUGUACGUUUCAUCAUUGCACUUUCAGUCAGCACAAUAUAUGAAUACACAAAAUCAAUACUCAAUUUGAUAUAUAUAGGACUAAUUUUAACAAACUUCAUCUUAAUCAAGCCUUAGUUCAAAUGUUAUCUCUAUUUUAAAUGUCCUCUCUUACUCGGUGUUGUAAAGUUCUUCAUUUCACUCUCAACACCUCUCUCUCUCUUCACAUUUUCAACAACAGCUUGUCUAUUUUUUCUUAUUUUUGAUUUGGGAAUUUUUGCCAUUGAAUAAGAAGCAGCAAUUGUUUCUUUUUGCACCUCAACUAUGUCUUUCAAAAUUUUUUUAAUGUAUAAAAAUAACUUCUUACCUAGAGCAAAGAAUGCUAAUUAACCCUCAUAAGCCAACAGUUCUGGUUUAUUAGAUUUCCAAAAUAUACUUAGUUUUUGAGCAAAUUUUAAAAGAGAAAUUUAAAAAGUCAAUUUCUUUCAAUAUCUAGAAACAAUAGAUUUCUAACCUCCUAAAAUAAUCCCCUCGACAAAAACAUAAAAUCUAAAACUUUGCAAGAAACAUAAAUCCUAUUUUUUCAAAAGGUAUUUGUAUAACUUCUCGUUGAACUCCCCAAAAUAUCACCCAACAACUAGCUAAUAAAACCAAACCAUUUGGACCCACUAAGGGAGAAUGCUAUCUCGACAAAGUAUUGGCAGUGUCUCAGAAGAAAAAUGUCAGAAGUGAGAAAUUUAUGAAACUUUGGAUUUUGAGCUCAAGUGAUUAAAGGUGAGUCUUUCAAGGCAGUAAAUUAAUUAGAAUAUGAUAAAAAAAUAUUUAUCCUACAAUAAUUUAGGAUUGGUAGACAUAGCAAAACGAGGGUCUUGAAGCUAGUCUUGGAAAGCAAAUCCCUCAUUGAUAAGUGAGGAGUUUGCCUAGGUGAGUAGAUUAUUAUCUCCAAUAAAUUGACCUAUAGGAAAUUCCUGAAGCAAACAGUAAAGUUUUUUAUUGGUUUAUAAUUUCAUCUCUCUCAGGCAAAAUUUUCUUGGAACAAACAUCUAAGUUAGGUUGACAUCAUUGGUCUAAAAUCUUAUCUGUUGAAACAGAUGGUCUUAGUUCUCAGUUUUCCCUUUGGUCAUUCUUCAGGCUGACCUGGAGUAUAGACAGUUACCAUAAGGGGAAAUGAUUACACAGAUGUUUGUAGAGUCAUCAUUAUGUAUCAGGGUUCUGUUGGUGGUCAUUUCAACCAUCGUAUACAUCAGGUUUUCUUGCUCUUUUUGUUGGGUUAUCAUUUAAUGGAACAGUGCCUAUGAAAGGCAUUUAAGAUUCUAGAGAUGACAUACUUGAAUCUAGCAUUGACUGGACACAGUUAAAUACUAAGAAUACUGUGAUCAGAUUCUACGGUCUACAUCUAAGAGCCAAGAAUUAACAGUGGUCUAAUUAAACCAAGAAAAGAGAUUGCAUCCACAAAAAGACCUGCAGACUAGAUCUGGGUUUAUUAGUCAAAUUACUUAAUUUCACAAUUUCCUUAUUUGUUUUCUGGAACUUCUUAGUAAUAUUAAAAUUCUCAGAAAUAUCUAUAGGAAUGUAAAUACAAUACCCUUUCCCUAAAUGGUACAUGUAAUACCUCUGCAGUCCAGUUAUGUCUAGGGCUUCUUAUUUUCAAACAGGGAAGGAGUUGUAUGAAUUUCUAUUAUCUAACUCUUCUCCUUUCAGUCUCUGACCUAUGGCAUGUUAAGAUUUUCCCCACCAUCCAUGCCUCGGGUAAAGAGUGAUAUAAAGAGGCUUAAGGACAGAAGAAAACCAUCCAUAAUUCCCCUUGAGUAAUUAAGAUUUCUGGUCUCGAUAGAGGCCCAGUUUUUCUCCUUCUUGAAAAAAGCUACAUAGUCAUCUCUUUUCGGAGAGUGUCAAAUAAUGGACCAAAAUGUACCCUGAGUGAUAUCAGAGACUACUUGACGACCUUGAAACAGGCAUCAAUUUACUAAGACAACAAGUACCUGUCCAAUUUGUUAGUAGUAGUCAGUAGGCUUUUGUGCCACAAAUUCAAUACCUAUGGCAGGGGUCUUCCCAAUCACAAGUUCUUAGGCAAAACACCCCUAGGUGGAUACCAAGUGUUAUUGUACGGUUUUGGCAUUAUUUGGAGGCACGCUUCUCUCUAAAUAUAGUGUAGAAUAUACAGUGGGAGAAUACAUAGUAAAGACAUCAUGAAAUAGACGAAAUGUUAUAUAGAGAAUAUAAAGAUUUCCUACAUAGUAAACCCUGUUUGUAAGGUCUGUAAACGUGAGACAGGUAUAAAUAUAUUCCACAAGUUCCCUUUCUGAGUCUUUCCUUUGUGAAAGUUGUUAUAUAGAGGUGUGCUCCUACAAGUGGUACCUGGAUAUCACAGAAACCUGCCUUUCUACCUUCCUAGGUAUGACAUAAUAGGGUGUUUUCAUUUUUGGUUAUCUGCCUGAUGUGCUGUCCUCCACAAAACUAACAAAGAAACAACAAGAAAACAAAAACCACACAUUACUAAUUGAGUCAACUGACUGAUGAAACCAAAUGUUUUACUAUAAGCAAUUGGAACUACAGGAAGCUAAUGGACACUCAGAGAAAAUGGUUACAAGCCCAGUAAUUGGUUCAAUCACAUGUUUUACCCAAAUCCAAAUCAAGAACAGGUUACAUCCAGGUAUUGAACUUAAAUUUAGGAGUGAAAAAGGAUGCAGAAAGCAAUAAUGAUCAGAGAGAACUCAUAAAUAACAUAGUUAAGAACUAACAAAUACGUUUGUUAAAAAUUCAGAAGUUUAACCCGAAAAGAGGAAAUAAAAUGACUAGAAAAAUAAAGAACAAAAGCACACAGAUUAAAGGGUGACAAUCUGUGGCUCCAGUGCUCUAGAAUCAGUUCCAUAGGUCUGGAGCAGAAGCUGUCCAUGUCAUACAGCCGUUUUCUUCAUUCAAAACUCUUGGGUGGAAGCUGUCUCAUUUCAAAGACCAUCUGCUGCUGAAGGAUUCUUAAGAAACCUUAAUUUAGAAUAGACAUUAGGAUGGCAGUUCAGGUGUCAGAGGGUGUUAAGCCUACAACUUCUUGGUAUUCAUAUCCUGAUAUUUAUACCCUUGUGUAAUUCCACAUUGUACCAAGAUUGGUCUGUGAGACUGACAGAAUAUGGUAGAAAUGAUAGUAUUUCAAUUAUGAGAUUAAAUAAUAAAAUACAUUGACUUCCUCCUUCUUGAUUAUUCUCUCUCUCUCCCUAUCUUCCUCUUUCCUUUCUCUCUCUAUUUUUCUCUCUCUCUCUUUCUUGUUUCAGGCCAUUCCUGCUCCAGGGGAUACCAGUUGCCAUGUCAUGAGCAGCCCACUGGAGAAGUCCAUGUGAUGAGAUACUGAGGCCUCCCAGCUGAUAAUCAUGUGAACAACCUUGGAGAUGGAUACUCUAGCCCAGUCGAGCCUUUGGAUGACUGCAGCCUCAGCCAAUAGCUUGACUGCAAGCUCUUGAGAGAUCCUGUUCCAAAAUCAUCUGUUUUAUGUCACUCAACUUGGGGAUAAUUUAUUAAAUAAUUUUCAAUGUUUGCUGUUUUAUGUCACUCAACUUGGGGAUAAUUUAUUAAAUAAUUUG